rnacentral:lncRNA from 1 species
CUCGGAACUGAGCCCAGUUCUAUCCGGAGGCCCCCUUUCUCCUAUUGCAAUGGUUCCUGAUUAAAAUCUACUGUUACAACUUUAUCUAUUGUCCAGCUCUGGUUCUCUUGGACAGUAGCUGAAGGAAAAUCCACUUCUUUCAUUGAAACUUUAUAUCAAUUGGGCUUCGGGAACAGAGGACAGCCACAAAGGGCUAGUGAGAGUCGAGACAUCGGACGUAAGACUGACAGACAAGCUGUGGUAGAGUUGGUCUAAUCAGUCAGACCAAGUGGAGAACCUGAACCUCCACUUUCCAGAACAAACGGAGCUUCAGAAAGACCCUCAACGUCCACUCCCGGGCUCCACCGUCUGCUGGACAUGAGCCUUGAACAAGUUACCUCCUCUCUCUGUUUGCUUUCUUUUCUGUAAAAUGGGUAUAAUGGUGCCUGGAAAUCAUGCUUCACGGCCUAAAGGAGACGACGGACACUUCGUACAAUGCAGGGCUUGCAGGGCUGGGGGCCUGGACCACCCCCAGCCCUGGCCAGUCCAGGUCUCGCUCCUGCACCAGGCACCUCCUGCCUCCUCCUUUGUCUGGCUGUCCCCAGCAACCGUCCCCUGACUUGGCUCUGUUUUCUGCACUCCAGAAUUUUUUUCACCCUUCCCUUCAGUGUCCCAGCAGUCAGAUGAUGGGACAGUGGUGUUUAGACUAUAGAGACAGACGGUUUGAAUCUCAGCUGGGAUCCAUGUGGCCUCUGACAAGUCAUUCAAACUCUGCAAGCCUCCAUGUCUUCCUAUGUAAAAUGGGUCUAACCAUGCCCACGCACGAGAUUUUUGGUGAGAAAGUGAGAAGAGCCACCUGGAUGGAGCAGAAGGAAUGUUCUAGUUCAGUGUGUGUGCUCCAAGAUGGCCUGUGAAUCCCAGCUCUGCUGCCAUCUGUGUGACCUUGGGCGGGUUCCACAGCCUUGUGUGCCUUGGUUUUCUUACCUGUAAAAUGGUUGCACUUGCAGCACGUACCUCCUGAUGUGAUGACUAUAACGAGUUCAUCUGUGUAAAGUGCUCAGCACAGCGCCCAGCAGGUGGUGAGUGCUCUGUAAACGUUCUGAUAAUAACACAAGCAGUUGUCGUGGUCAUUUCAGGAAGGUCUGGUAAGCAGGGUGGGGACUGGGUGGGAGUGGCUGGAGAAAGCUGAACUGUGGCCAGCACGAGGGAUGGACUGGCACAGAGCAAAUGUGGGGACUGGUGCCAGGUGGGAGGCAACGAGGGCCGAGGGAGGCUGAGGCCACUGAGGGUGGCGGUGCUGGUCUGACGGUUCUCACAGCCUCUGCAGGGGGUGAGAGGGCAGGGAAUUCCACUCUCCCCGGGUCAGGAAAGGGGCCCUGAAAGGCGACGACUUUCACAAGACUUCUAGUGGCAAAGGCAAGCUGGGUCCUCUGAAACCUGAGGUCAGGCUCUUUCCUCUUCCCGCCGGCCUCCGUAGCGGAAGGCAGAGACCCACGCACAGUCGGAGAGCCCAUGGAGCCGCAAGAGCGUGGCCUGAAGCUGGAGGAAGAGGGAUUGGGUUUCAUUCGUGACCUGAUAAAUCUUCAAGUACCACCCACAUCUGUUGAGACUCCUUUGCCCCAAGGCCCUCCCGUCGCACCUCCUCCACUCUCCCCAAGCCUCCCCUGUGCUCACUGCCUCUGCUCCCCGGAUUCCAAAUCUCUCUUCAGUCCCAGCAUCUGGUUCUGCCCCGCUCCUCCUCACUAGAGGUCCUAAAAUCAAAGGACCGUCCGUCCUCACCCAGCCUGGCAACCUGGCAUCCUGGCAGCCCCAGCGAUCUGUCCUCCCUGUGGAGACUCUCCCCCGGGCUCCACGCAGGAUUCUCACCCCCACACUGACGUGUUCUUGUCUCCUUUGUGGUUCCUCUUUGGCCGUGGCUUCCUAAAGGUUGGUGGCUGAGGGUUCUGCCCACUCUGUCCACUCUCCCUGCACAGCUUCAUCCUCACCCCACACAGUGACAGCGCUCCUCUCCCGUCGCCAGAGCCAGGGGUGGGUGGGGCUAAAGCUCUUCCUCCCAUCGGGCCUUCCGGUCUCCAUGUCCUCCCCAUCUGGUCCACCUGGCAGGCAAAUUCCUGUUCACCCAGAGUCUCAGCUCCACUGUUGCCUUCUCUGGGGACCUCUGACCUUUCCAGGCAGCUGGUUGCUCCCUCCCCUGGGGUCUCUUACUUUGCUAAAAUGAGCAGGCUGCACAUUGGUCUCUGUGAUCUCUCGGGGAAUGUGUGAAAGACAGGAUCCUCUCUCUCAUUUCUGUUUCCCCGGGCCUAGUACACAGAGGUGGUCAGUAAGUGCUCAAUAAUGGCACAACUUUCCAAAGCACGUUAGUUACACCCCAGGCAUUGUGCUGGGCACGCUACAGCUUUAGUGCAAUUUUACAGCCCUACGUUGUUGGGACUUUAAUAUGGUCCUUUUGCGGGUGAAGAAACUUGAGACUUAAAGAAACUAGGUGAGGGAGUCCAAGACCACACAGGUAGUGAAGAGCAUCCAGUGAAUAAACCAAAGCGUGAAUGAACGCUUCCAACGCAAAGUCCCUGCCAAGCAGAGCUCUGCCCAGGGCCCAAAGUGAGUGUGAAAUUACUAUUCUCCACACACACUGAUGCCUACAAUUCAUGUGAGUUGCAGGAGCUGGGAGUGAGCUGGUAUCAGGGGCAUCCCACACAUUUCUGCUGCAUAUGCCCCAGACUGCACUGCCUUUUAAAGAUGUUAAGUGUGCAAAGGGGCUGCGCUUGCUGGGAACGGCGGCCCCCACGCGGCCCUGUCGGCAGCGCAGACGUGGAAGGAGAGCCGGGGGCAGGGGCUGACCCAGGCUCUAGCCACCAGCCAGGUGGGGAAUCCUGGGGACCCUUCGCCCACCUUGUUGGCUGCUCCUGCAGCUCUUCUGAUGACUUAACUGGGAGAUUAGAGGGGUUCCCACGUGUUUGUUGCUGUUACCACCGUCUGAGAAAUUGUCGAGCUAAACUUCCUCGGGAAGAGCAGCCUGGGACAGGUUCUGCCUGGAGAGAGAGGGUGAUGCCAAUGAGGCACAGCCCCCGGGGCCAUGUGCCCAUCUCUAGGGCAGCCCCCUGGACACUUUGUGGGGACAAGCUCAGCAGCUCUGGGCUCUGUGAGGGCCUGGACAGGGCCAACCACCUCCUACCUCCCCCAGUUGUACACCCCAUCAGUGGGCAACCCAAGGCAGGAGGAGGAAGGGGAGGAGGAAGAGAAGGAGGAGGCUUCGACUUGGGUUGACCAGUGGUUCAGGGGUCAUAAACUUGACCUCUCUCUGGGUCCCAGAGAGAAUAAAGAAAAAUCCCAAUGGCCAGUGAUCGUUUUAAUCUUGGUUUCCUACCUACAUAUUGUGUGAUUGAGAGUAUCUUAAUUAAACUCCCGUGCCUCGCUUUUCUCCUCUGUGUAAUGGGAACAACAGCACCUACUUCACGGUGAUUGCUGUGGGAUUACGUGGAUAGUCCACAUUAAGAGCCUGGAACACCGCUGACACGUGGAAGUACGCAGUGAGUGUAAACCGUGACCGUUCCAACAGCCAGGUCAGGGCGUCGGAAAGGCUCCAAGUCAUCAAAGGAGGGGAACCAAUGUAUGCCUGUUCAGCAGAUACUUAUCGAGCGCCCAGAGGUCAGGCAAUGUUCAAGGUCAUGCCAAAAAUGGCCCUGCUCUCGUGGAGCUUAUACUCCGGUGUGGAAAUUAGACAUGGAGCUGGGGGACGACUCUAAUAAACGUAUAGUUACAAACUGCGGGGAUGUGCGCUCUGAAGCAGAGGAGCCCGGCCCUAAGUGAGGACCUGGCCAGGCUCCAUGGGGAGUGGGGUGGGGCUGGGCUCGCCUCCUAUUUCCCAGACACCACACCAGACACUUCCACGUUCGUUAUUUCCCAGAGCCAUCUCGGCAGUCCUCUAAGCUGGGUCUCUUUGAAACUUAUUUUACAGCUAAAGAAACAGGGGCUCAGAGAGGUUGAGCAACUUGCCCAGAACCAUACAGCCAGCUGGGGACAGAGUUGGGAGGGUCAAUCCCAAGCCCAUCUGCAUGGAACUUAGUCCAUACCUUCCCACAGUGCCUCACUGUGCUGACCACAAGAAUGUGGACACUGGGAAGGCCACCAUCAGCCUCUUCCCCCCGAGGAGACAGACUCCAAUGGCUGUGACGGCAAACUGCUUUUCUGUCCCCAGCAACUGACACUGAGUGUGGCCCUGGCAGCCCUGGGAGGGGCCCUAGGGGAUCCAAGUCAUCCAGGUCCAGAGAAUAGCCUGUCCCUCAGGCUCGGAAAGGAUGUCCCUUCAGGUCUUCAGCCUGCAAAGAGGGCAGCUAGAAAAGAAGAAGAGUUGGCAGCUCACAGUGGGCCACCAGUGCUGUCUGGAAGAAAGACAUAGAAACCGAGAGGGGGUAAACUGCAGAGAUAAAAUUGCAUUUCCCAGCAGGUCUGAGGGCAUGAUAUUCAGAACUCAGAGAAAAAUCUACCAUAAAUGGCCACCUUCACGGCAUAUUUCAUCCACUAUUGAUGCAUUGAAUAUCAAGGGCAGUGACCAGGUGCCAAGCACUGUGCCAGGCCCUAGGGGUAGCUGUAGAGGGUGCUCCCCCUCCUGAGGCGCCCCAAGGCUGGGGAGAAGAAGACAGAAGGAAUGGCUCUUCCUGAACCACGUCACUGUCCUAGAGCCCCAUCAGAACAUGGGCGGGUGUCUAAUGCUAACAGCUCAACUCCUUGAACUCAUUUCAGUAAACAAGAACAUGCUUUUAGCCAAUUUUACUGACCAGCAUAGGGUGUCUUUUUUCCGGGCAUGAUCGGAAGCCCAAACAAGUCAGUAAGAAUUUGGCUUCUUUACAAGGGGAGAGAAAGUUAACAACAGAAUAUACAGAAAACCCCUCACAGAUGGCCUGACCCUGGCUUUCCCCUUUUCUGCUCGGGCCCCAAGAUGCAAUGAUUAUAAGCAGCCCUGUGAUGAAGCCCCUGUGCGCUCUGCUGGGGGGGCAGCAUCAUAUAUAUCACCUGGUUUAAUUCUGUAAGGUGGAAUCGGGAUGUCCGCUUAGAGAAGAGGGGCCUCGGAGAUGCUGGAUACGCUUACCAAAGCACACCUGGGAGUCGGACGGAGCAUUUUUCUGGCCCUGAAGCAGGGCUCUUUCCCCUGCACAGGGCUUCAGGAAAGCACGCAGGCCUGUUUGCAGGCCCUCCAGGGACAGCGGCUCCAUCCCCUCCUGCUGGGGCUUUUGCAACUUUAAGGCUCCAUCAGCGCUAAGAGUGUGUUUUAAUGAAUGGGCUUUCAACAGCGAUUCAUCACUUAGUUAAAAAUUGCAUCUGAUCGAUUGUCCCCUGAGGUUUGGCUCCAACCACUUCUCGGGAAAACCCCAGCUGUGUCCUCCAGACCAGAUCAGUCUCCAUGGCGCUGGCUUUUGUCACAUCUGUGCCCAGAGUGCGGUAAAUCUGUUAAAGGCUGAGGAGAAGAGAUGUUCUCGCCCUGUUAAAUCAUGUUCCUUUUGUAGGUCAUUUCUUUAAAUCAACUAAUCAACAUUUUAAAAUUUAAAAGUAAAACAGUUUCAUUCACAUAGCCUCUAAUUGUGUGAUGCCUUGUUGUAUAAAGUGUGAGGGGUGGGGACACAUGGAGCUCUAGACAUGAUGGUUCAGACGUGGGACAAGAAUGACAGGACAGAAAUAACUCUGCAGGCAGAGUGCCAGCUGGAACCCAGGGGCUCACAAGGAGCCAGGAGCUUGUCCGUAAAGUGGUCACCGGGGACACUGGCAUCUGCUGGGAAGUUAACCAAGUGCUGGGCGUUGAGUUCUUUCUUCCUCCUGGGUUAUUGGCGGCUCUUGUCUUCUCUUCUAGACUAGUAUCUUGUGACAGGAAUUGAGAAAGACCAACCCAAUAGCUAUUCUCCUUUUGUUCCUUAUUAACUAAACCCAGCUUCAAUUUAGGGAAGCAAUGUGUCUUGCUAAAAAACUAAGUUUCGCAGUCACUCUGCAAUGAUGUGUGGUCCUGUGACACAGUUGUGUCAAAAGAGAUUCUGUGGAAGAUGUUGGGUGAGGCUUCUAGGAAAGUCCCUUCUGCCCUUUGACCUUCUCCUCUGUCUUCCUGGAACAGGGACAUGAGGACUGGAGCUCCAGGAGCCAUCCUGUGACCACAAGGGGAAAAACCCCUGCCAAAGAAGGCGGUAAGGAGGGUCUCCGAGGGGCUUCCCUAACAGUUUUGGACUGCCCUCCGCUGGACUUCUUUUGCAUAAGAGAAACAUCCUUCCCUAUCCUCUUUAAGCCACUUUUAUUUGUGUUAUCCGUUAAUUGCAGCCAAAUCCAGUCUCAAGAAGCUGAGAAGGGAGUAGCCAUACUACAUUACGGAGGUGUCAAGAUCAUAGCAUGUUAAAUAGGAAAAGGCUCUUAGAAGGCACUUUUUCAACCUCUCCGUGUUACGCAGAAGGAAAUUGAGGCCUGUAAAGAGGAGGGCACAUACCCACGUUCAUAGGGAUCACUCAUGUCCAGCUGGGGCCUCAUCCCAGAGCUCUUUCCUGUAGCUGCAUGCUCUGCUCCAGAGCCUUCUCCACACCUCCCUCUACCUUCCUUUCUGCCCACAGAGGUGGGCCUGCUCUCCCCAGUCCCCUGGCUUCUGUUUCCGUUUAGCCAAUGGGCAGCCCAGGCAGGAGAUUGGAGGGAGGGAGGGAGAUUAGGGACUCUAUUCCUUGGGGAUCACUGGGCGCUGGCUGUGCCUCCUUUCCAGGUGGCCCUCUCCACACAACUCUCGCCUCCUGGGCUCUGGGACUCCCCUCUUUAGGCCUGCUGGCACCAGCCCUAGGGUCUGCAAAGUCCCUGUCAUCUCCCUGCCUCUGCUCACUUUGUGUCCUCUGUGAGCAGUAUUUGAAUUAAUACUCCUUGCAAUAUUACCUGGUCCACCAGCUGGCUGACCUGGGGCCACUCCCUCAACUGCUCCUUGUCUCUGUUGUCUGACGCCUCUUCAUGGAGUUGUCAGUAGGUCUAAGAAAUAACCAGCUAAGCGCCCAGCACGGAGCCAGGUGUGGAAUAAAAUCUCCAUGACUUUUACUUCCUUGAGGCCGGCUGAGGCCGGGCUCCCAUUCUGCCCUCGCUGCGAGGACGGAUUGGGGAGGGGAUGACAGCUCCUCCUCCUGGGGGAGAAUUCCCUGUAGCAGGAGUGAAAGCUUUGUCUUGGAGUUUGCCAAGUCAUCAUGGAAGGGACAAUCACAACCCCAGUGUAGUACCUCAAUCCUGGACCAUCCUCAGUAACUGGCCGUCCCAUUGAUUCCUUUGGCGACCACCCAGCUGCUGUGGGUAGUUUCUGCCAUGUCUCCUUCCCUCCCACCUCACAGGUAGGGCUGGGAGCCUGAAAAGGCAUCUCUAUAUUAAAGGGAGUCCUGGGACACUCCCCCUGGUGUCCUGGACUCACUACGCAACGACUUGACUUAUAAGAGCCAAGCAUGCGCAUCUCUUCCCAAUUCCACAUCAGUGAGACGGUAGCUGGAAAUCGGCCGUGGUGGCAGCAUUUACACCAGAGAAAUGCAAUACGCUUCACACCAGGGCUCUUCCCCAGGGGAGCUGGUUCUCCAACACUUACCAGCACCUCACUAGAUACGCCUCUCCAAAGAUCACCAACAUGACCAUAGGCGGGCUUUGGAAACAAUGCUCAGGUGGUGGUUUCUAACUCAGAUGGAAUCACCAUGGAGCCAGUUGAAGAUGGCAUCCUAGGUCCUACCGUAGCAGGUGUACCUCAGCACCCUUUGUCCACAUGCCACAGGCAGCAACAAAAACAGGGAGCACUCUCACCGUAUACCAGUCCCACCGCUGAAAGCUUUCUGCUCUCACCAACAAAUCAAUCACCUCCUUUCAGGAUACACAGCAAAAAAGUGGUCCUCCUGGAGUUCAUCUCAGCGGACAGAGUGUCAUUUUUGUUGGUUUUGAGUGAUCUUGGAAAAUGCGAAGUCAGUUGUUUUGUGUACUGGCCCAGUCCCAAAACUUGUCACAACCGAGCUCUGUGGGAGGAAAGAUAAAUCAGGAUGGGUGCAAGCCCUGGGGCCUUCACCAGAGUGACACAGCAUCACCAUAGCAUCCACCUCUUAGGAGAAUGGCACCUUCCUGAGACCUUCUAGAAAUAGACAUGCUUCCUUCCAUCUGGCAAAGAGGAUAUGUGCCUAGGGAAAUUCUUAGCUCAAGCUAUCAAAGCUAGACAAGCUGAACUAGAUUUUUCUGAAAAGGCAGAACAGAUAGAAGUGGAGUCAGCGUUUUCCUGGGCUGGGCACGUGAAGCCAAGGGCUAGCUGGAAACUAAGGAGAAGCAGAGGCGGGUGUCGCCAGGUCAAACCAGAUGGGAUGUUAUCAAAGAUCCCACUGGUGUGUCCAGAGAAGGAAAUAGAUCUUACAGAGAUCUGAAGGCAGAGGCAAGAGAAGAAACUAGAAUUGGCGCCCAGAAUUCAGAGUGAUACAAAGCAAGAUACGUAGAGCAGGUGGAGAUGAACAGGGAUGUCCCAGGGUCCCUCUGCCUGGUCCUGGUGCACCAUCGGUGCUCUGGGACAGUCACUGAGAACACUUGUCCUGGCUGGGUAUGACUGGGCGGGAAGGUAUCACUAAACACUUGCUGUUCUAUCUUCUCCUAGUUCUUCCCAACUCUCUAGCAAUCCAGGUUUCCUGCUUCCUGCACUGACUCUGCAAGCUCUAUCCAUUCAUUUAUUCCCACCCACCUUCUGUUGAAACUUUCUGGGACGCUAGGAACAUGAGAGAGGAGGGACAGAUGCUAUACUUUCUGCAGGAUCUCCUGGAGUGGCUGGAACAGUGCCUUCUGGCCAGGCUCCCCCGUAAAUACUUGUCAGCUCAGCCUCUAACCCUUGCUGCCCAGCUGGCCCUCCCCAACAUCAUGCAGCCCCCACAAAGCUCAGCCAUCCCAGCUGUGCACCACCCUUCUGCUCCCGUGCCAGCCUCCCGCGCCUGCUCUCUGACUUCAGGCUUCUUCUCUGGCUCCACAUCAGCUCUGGCUCUUCUUUGUACUCCUGGUUAUCCCACCCCAGCAACCCACUCCAGCCUUCCUUUGUCACACUUGCCUGAUGUUGGUGUCACUUGCAGCUUUGUCCUCUUGAGUCCCUCGUAUCCAAGCCCACAUGCAAGGCAGGUGGAGAGGUGCUCCUAAACAUAACCAUGUUGGGCCAGUCCCCUGGCCUGGUUGGCACGGACACCUGUGACCAUGGCCCAAAUGGAAUAGCAGAGCUUUCAUUCCAGUGGCAAAGCUUCAAGGAUAUUACGAGUUCCCUGGCUCUGGGGAUCCCUGUGUUUCUGUGUGACAGCACCCCGGCAUCUCAGCAGGUAAGACAUUUUGCAGCUGGCAGAUCUGCAUGGGUUCUGAUUCUCACUGGAGCUAAUUUGAAGUGCCUCCACUCAGGUAGCCAAACGUGAACAUCAGCUCUGCAUGGCCCAUGUUCACGUGGGGCUCAGAGGUUAUCCAAAUUAAACGUUCUUAGGAAUCGUAGUUAAUGCUCACAAAUAAACAUAAAAUCAGCAUGUGAGUAAGGGAUUCCAGCUAAUAGCAUUUUUAGUUAGUAAAUCAGUUUUAAUCAGGGAUUUAAUAACAUUCUAAUAAUAAAUACUAUUUAUUUGGGGCUAGAUUAUAGAGAUUAUCUUAAAAAUUUGGUAUGUCAAGAAUUGUUUUUUAUAUGCUCAAUUGCUUGUAACCCCACAUAAUAUUAUGUUGCUAUGGCUCAUUCGUCCAGGGAAAAAUUAGAGAGAGUCCAUGAUUGAAGGUCAGAAUGAAUGGCAUGGCUCCCAAUGUGAUAUGGGGAUGGACAGAGGCAGGAAAUGUAUCAAGAACCCGAACAGCUAACACAUACUGAGCAGGGAUGCCAGAGAGGGCCUGGGACCCUAGCAGAGACAGGAAGAGCUGGGAAGGGAUCUGAGGAAAGCAGGUCCGAGACCAGAACAUCUAGAGUUAAUUCUUCUCAGGUUUCACAGGGGAAUUUGAGCCCCAGGUGGGCUGAGAGUCUUGCUCAAAUUAGUAACAGAAAUGAACCAGAACCCGGCUCUCUUGAGUCCCAGUCCUAUAGGUUGGCGUGAGUCCUAGCUGAGCAGACAGCUCCUACCUGAUUUUGGUUUGGGUUCAAACAGCUAUUUCUCCCACGGCCCUAGGGGUCAGGUGCCCCUGUGGCAUUUGAAGAUUGAGGGGAUGUCGGGGAUGAGGGUAGAGCAUAGUAGCCUGGUGGCCCUCGCCCACUGACUCAUGAAGAGCUCACACCUGCCUCCCACCCUAAGGGCACUGUAUGGCACUGAAAGAGAAAAGGGACUUAAAUGCCUUUUUCUCUGAGAAUUCCAUGCACCAUUUGAGAUACUGUGUGAAACCUGAGGCUUGUAAAACCAGGGCGGGGACUCGGCUUGUCACCGUGCACUCUUGGUUUGCUUGUGGAGGAAAGCCAACAGACUGAUAUUGGGAAAUUAGAAUUCUAGAAAGUGAGGGUCAGAAGGCUGGAGCAAGGUCUUGAAGCAAGUGUCCUCAUUUACAGGUAAAGGAUCUGAGACCCAGAGAGACUAGCCCAAAGCCACAGGUUGAGUUACUGGUAAUUCCAUUCAUCUUCACAUCUGGGGGAGCAUCCUUCCUCUAGGUGACUCACUUCCCCGGGGUGGUGAAUCAAGAAAGUGAGAGAGUUAGCCAGGAAAAGGGCCCAGCCUCUACCAUGCUUCCUCGGUGGGCUGUUUGAUCAGAGGUGUGACCUUUCGUAGCCCCACUGGACACAGCAGGCAAUCAGUAAGUAGGUGUAUAUCAAUAGCCAGAGCUGAGCGCUGGACCGUGAGUCAGGAGGCCCAGUUCUCACUACGGCUCUACUGCUCACAGAACAAACUCCCGUGUCGUCAGGACUCAGUGGACUUUGAGGUCCCUUCCGGCUCUCGGAUUUAAUGAAAUCUGUCAGUGACUUGCUGUUCUGCCUGUGUCGUUUUAUCAACAACGUCUGUUUGCAGAACAAGAUCCUUUCAUCUCAGGACUGUGCAUUCAGCUCUGUCCACUCGACCUUUCUGUCCACAUUCAGCACAGCAAUAAGGCAGCGCCUUCCAGUCUGGGUCCCCAAACACAUCAUUAGCUGGGAAGACACUGGAAGCACUGCAUUCUUCGGGCUGUGCUGUCAACUUUGACUUCAAAGGGAAAAUUCUCUUCCUGAUGCUUUCCCAAGCCAGUCCCUUUCCGAUAACUCACGGGGUUUCCUAACGUCUAGAUAAAUAGCCCCCCCUGCAGGCGGUGAGGCAGAACUGCAGAGUGGGUGGCUGAGAAAACCUGAAAGGACAACAAAGGUGACCCGUCCAGAUGCAGCAGGCAGCAGCCGGGGAGGAGGCAGGAGAAGCUAAACAAUACUUGUAGAGACUUCCACUCCCAGUCAAGAUGGAAUCAGAUUUACCUUCCACCUGAAGCAACUCAAAAACAAGACAGAAUAAUAAAGCAAUGACACUCAAGACAUUGGACAUUGGACAAUGGAGGAUAGUGAUUUCCUGAGCAAAUGGAAACAGCUGAGAUGUCUUCGCCUCACACUGACUUGGGGAUUGAAUCCGAGAGUUGGAGAGUUGCCCCUAAGAAGAGAAAGGAUGCCGGCUUGACUUUUGACCUCCUUAUGAAACACCGCAAUGAAUCCAUCUGCGAACACACACUGGGCUGGUAGAGACAGACGAGCAGAAAGUGUCUCAAAGCGGCUUCCCAGCAGCCCCUGCCACACAGCCGUCUACAUCUGCAUGCACACAAUUCCGACGCGUUCCGACAAAUGAUGUUUACGUUCGGAAUCCAGCUGUCAAGGGAGAACAGCUGCUGUCAGGUGCUUAAGGGCACCUCGAAGGAGUGUUUUCAGAUUUCAAAAAAACGUGUGAGCCCACACUGUUUCAACUGCUUCCCCGUGGAAGUUGCAGACUGAAGCUUCUUUGUUCCUGCUGAAUGACUCAUGAAUGCCCUUUAAAAGAGAACGAAACAGACAUGUUUUGAUGGGGAAAAUACAUAAAGAAUGCAGUGCAUUUUUCCAAACAGCCGUCAGACCAUCUAAUUUAGGCCAAUAAGGGCAAACUCGCCUGCGUUCUCAGGCUGACCUUCCCAGCGAGGGCCUUGUCCUGGCCCUGGGCUCCUGGGUGAGGGCCGCACUGACCAAGGCAGGAAGGGUAAGGCCAGCUUUCCCAAGGUUGUUAGUCUUCCUGGGGUUCCAUUUGAAAAGAGGCUUCCUGUUCUUCUAGAAGGUUGUUUUUCUUCACUGGGUAAAUCAUUUCCAGUAGCAGUGGGAUGUAAUAAUUGUAAGAAGAUAGUGCGUUUAUAUAGCACUUACUGUGUGCUAAACAUGGUCCAUGUGCAGUAAUUCCUUUAAUCCUCAUAGUAUUCCCAAUGAAUCACUGAGGCACAGAGAUAGUAAGUCAGUCACCCAGGGUCACACAGCUAGUAAGUGGCACAGCUGGGGUACAAACCAGGUGGUGUAGCUACAGAGUCUGGGCUGUGUGUGGUGGAAGGAGCACUUCCCGUGGAGUCGGGAAUCCCGGGUUUGAGUCUGGGCUCUACCCUUUACAAUCUGUGCACUCUGAGCCUUGGUUUCCUACUCUGCAAUUUGAGGUUAAAGCCAGCUCGCAUUGUUAGAGGAUUAGCCGUUGGAGUAGGCCCUCAGCUAAGGUAAGCCGCGCCUGAACGCCGGUGAGCACGGCACAUCCUCCAGGGGCCUUACCCCACUCCCUCCGGUUUUGGGAAGCCCUUCUAUUCUGCAGUGCUGGGUGGAGUAGCAGAAAAAGGCAGGCGAGGGUCCAAUGGGCCUUUAGGACACAGUGACUUAUUGAUGUGAGUGGUCUGGAUUGAUACUGGUAGUGCCCCGCCAACACACACACGCAAUAUAAACAGAUGCAUGGGCUCCUAAUACACACACACCAGAUACACGUACACGUGCUCCUAAUAUACACACACUCACACACAUACACAAACACACACAUACACAUACAUGUACUCCUAAUACACACACACACACACUCACACAACAAACAACUAACCAACCGGAACCCACCAGCGCUGAGCUGCAGUGCCCGUUAGCUGCGUAAAGAAACCCCUGGAGGGUUUACUGUUAACAUCAGUCUUGUGGUGAUCCCGCUGCCUUGGCUUGUAACCCCAGGGCCUAGCUCUGGGUCCUGGGAUACACACAUUUCCAGGGAAUGUGGCUGGUUUACAUCAACUCUGGAUCACUUCUCUUCCCAUUGGGGAAAUCCCAUGUUGUUGAUAAAGGGAAGCAACUAUGAAAUCACAGCAGUGAAAGACAUAGGAAGCGCCCUCUGGUGCAGGGCCCUGAUUUCUGGCACGCGCGGAUGUAUGUCAUCCAGGGCCACCUGCACCCUGAUGUUCUUCUUAACAGGAAGGAAAUAUUUUCACCUGGGUGGGGGAGGGGGCGUUACCUGAAAGUGGUUCUCUCCCCGGUAGAAGCUCCUCACUGAUUCUACCUCCUGCAUGGCAUUUUUGGGCACCUCCCUCCACCCCUACCCCCAGGUUGAGAGCUUCUGCCCUUUAGACCUUAACACCCACGGGGGGUUUACCCAGUGAAGCUGCUCUAAAUGGAGCUGCCCAGUUGAGACCAAUGUCCAGGGAUUGCAUGAAAACCCAGGCUCAAGAUUUGCGUCAAGCACCUAUCAGUUACCCCCAACCUCUCUACUUCCUCAGCUUCAGUGCCCACCUCCCAGAUCUUGCCUCAUGCACCCUGGGGUGCGACAGGCCACUGUGAACCCACCGGUUCAAUUGAUCCUGUUCUUGAUGUUUAGACUUUCUAGUUAUAUAAGCCAAUAAAGUCCCCUUUUUAUGCUUAA